CCCACCUCCCCCCCGGCCCCUUCCAAGCUCUCUGAUUGGCCAAUGGGACAAAAGUUUCUGUGGAGACGGCUGGGCGCUGACGUCACGGGCAGAAUUGUCCCAUUUAGGGAUCCCGGGGGCAGUGCGCAUGCUGCAGGCUGCAGGUUAGAGGCAGGAGGAGGUAGCAGCGGGCCGGGCGGCAGCCAGGUGGCAGAAAGGAGCAGGCACCAUCCAGAUUUGCCCGUAACUUUAUCACAAUGAAGAGGGCACACAAUGUGUCCCUACUGCAGUAUAUACAGAGUUGGUAAAUUAAGGACAAGAAGGGAAGAGAAAGACAAAGAAGAAAGGAAAAGCAAGCAGAUACAGUCCUGGUCCAGCCCUGCUGACUUCUGCUAGUGGUGUUAGGAUGAAGUUGUCUCCACUUAAGGAAAUGCUAGGGAUGUACUGCAUGUACAUGUGUACUAUAUUUAUAACGAUGCUUGUCACCCUAAUGUAUGGAAGUUAGAACACCCUCCACAUAAAGAGCUGGCAAAAUGCAAACAAAUAUGUCACAGCCCUCACUUGUAUUAACUAGACUUGAUAUAGAAGCCAAAAACCCCAC
rnacentral:lncRNA from 1 species